GCGGAUUGCUGCGGGCCGAGACGGGGAGACGCUCAGUUAUCGGGUGCUGGCUCCCAGAUAUUUGUUUCCUUUUGGGUUUUGGCCUUGUUCCACAUUAGUGGCCCUCCCGAACCUGUAUUCUUUCCAUCAAAGGAGAUGGAGAUUUUCCAGGAUUAUGGGGACAGAGCCGUCUGAUAGUGACAGCCCCAGCUACAGCUCCCUUCUCUCCACACGUUUAUGGAACAGAGGUGUUUCUGACACAAGUAGCUUGACAUACCAACAGGGAAAUCCCAAAAUCCUGGUUUUUCCAGAGCCUCCCUGGACAGCCUUUAGUGAGUAAAAAAUACAAUGGGUACUUCAGUGUCCUGUUCCUCUAAGUGUCAGUUAUCUGAUGGGAAGUUGAGGCCCAUCCUGGUUCGUGUUUUCACCAUUACCUCAGGAACAAAGAGGUGAUUUUCACAGGUGGCAAGCCCGCACACACAAGUCCAAAGGCAGUGGCUCUAAAGUGCAAAACCCACAGCAUUUCUCCAUGCAAGAACAGAAGUGCAAGAUGCAAUGUCAGACUCAUUCUCACUGGAUCUGGUGACGGUCUGGGCACUGAUGACACUCAGAACAAGAUGGCUCAGCACUUUCUCCAGGCCCUCAGAAGAGGGGAAAUGAAACAAUGCACCUAAAUUAAGAAGGUGCUUUUUUCAGUGUCUAAACUGAGCACUUCUACCAGCCACUUUCAGGCUGACCAUAAAACCUGCACUGAAGUCGAGAGGACAGCUGGCCACAACUCAGUUCUCUCCUGACAAGGCAGAAAGCUGAACUGCUGCACUUCCAGGUGAUCUGCACAUCUGGUUUACCCAGUUGUAGCCUGGGCCCUCCACAGAAUUUCAGUUCCUGGCCUUUCACUGGCAUCCUGCUGGAACACAAGGAGCUCCCACAAAACAUACUGUGCAUUUUCCAGUUCCUUCCUGGGUAUGGCAAUAAGGAUCUGGAAAGACAACAUUACAUCAGCUGUGAUCCUCCUGAACAGGAAGGCAAUCUGAAUUCUGGCCUCCUGGGGGGAACUGAGAUGGCAUUCCAAAUACUUUCAUGGGCUGCUCACUCUCAUUUGCUGUGGUUCACCUUGGGUAUUCCCAGAAGAUAUUCCAGAAGCAAUUUUCUGAUAGAUCUGGAUUUUACCUGAGAUUUUUUUGGAGAAAUCAUUUAAGAAAUUGUGUGAUGCAAAAAAUGAAUGUCAAAAAAAUAGCAAAAAACCAAGUAGCUACCAUUACAAAUACCUAAGCAAUGGGAAGAAUUACUACAUACAUGUUCUCAAUAUGUAAAAUACAAUUUAUUGUAUUUAGGCUGUUCAUAAGUAUCAACACAAUGUAUUAUGUUUGAAACAAACAUCUCGCCAAUAAAUACUAUCUAAACAUUAAUAUUAAUCUUUUGAUCAAAUGUGUACAGUGUAUUGACUCAAUAUUGCACAGUGAGUUCUAUAUGACAUUUCCAUAGUGCAUUCAGUUUGUUACAGGGAUAGUUUGCCACAAAUAUUGCAAAGCAUCAGAGUUGACUUUUCCAAGUGAAAACAGCUGACCUAUUCCAUUAGGGAUGGAAGGCUGGUAUAAAUGUCAGUGUCUUAGGUUAACUGGUUAUGGAUUCACAGAACCUAAUGUUUUCAUGGAUAAGGAGACUUUGUUUCUAAUAUGAUUUUUAUAUAAUUGUAAAAAAAUACCACUUGCAAAUAGAAUGAGGAUGUUAUCAUUAAAUUCCAUUGACCAGAGAGCUUGUAAGCAGGUUCAUUCCAGUAAACUUGUUUUCUCUUGUUCCAAUCAAAAUAUAAAUCACAUAUAUGAUAUAUUCAGAGCUGUACCUCACCACCUGCAUUUCAAAGGCCAUGCUGUGCAAGCCCCCAGCAUCACUCCAGCUCGUUGCUCCCCAUGAGCCUGUGCUCAGGUGAGAUUCAGUACCUGCUGGUAUGAGCAGACACUCUAGUCCCAGUGGUUGUCAAUGUAUGAAUGCAGAUAUAAUCUGUAAUGGUUCUGUGGUUGCAAUCACAAUGGUUCUAUAAUUCAUUGUAUCUCAUCUUUAUCUGAUUAAAUCUUGAUUCUAGAGCAUCACUUCUGUGAGGGGUGGUCCUGCCAGUUGGUAUGGCAUUCCCACACUCACACAGAGGGCUGGGUGCUGCCAGCAAUGUGGCCAGCUGUCCUGCUCUCCUGAAAACCAGUGACUCCUGGAUCAGAUGGACUCAUGUGCUCUGGUCAGCCCAGAGUCAAACACUGGCAGGACUGUGGCUCGCAGCCACAGAUUUUCAACAGCUCACUGUUAUUCACUCUCAAGUCCAACUAUGACAAAACCAUGUCCAUGGCAGUGGGAGAUGACUGUGAGAGUAAGGACUGCAUGAUUUGACCUGUAUUUGCAUGAACUUGCAACUGCUCUGACAUUGCAGAAGGACCUUAAGAUGGACAUAUACUGCUUUAAUGUACAUUUAAGCUACAUUGCCUUGCCAAAGUUGUAUGAACUGCUCAAAAUGCAAAUAAGAUUCAUGGUCAUAGAAUGACUGUGACUGACUUGGAAAAGAUUUGACCAUCAGUAUAAUGGUGCUUAAUGCUUAGUGUGUAGUAUCCCUUAGUGCUUAGCAUGUAGUAUUUCUUUAAGUAAAAGAAAAUUCACUCACCAAGUGAUACAAUUAAAAAUUUCUAAGAAACUACUGGUUAAGUAUUACCUCAUGAUUAUGUAAAUCAUGUUUAUAUCCCUCCUCUUUGCUGUCUAUCAGUUUGUAUAUAUUUAGAUUCUUUAUAUUCAGGUAACAGAGAUGAAAUACUUAUUUCUAUCUAAAAAGACAGUAGGAAAAAACAGGGAUUGAAGGGAUUUCUUUUCUGUACAAAAAAUACAUUUUUAUGACAACAGCCAGUACCUUCACAGUAGGUCCUUUGCUCCUCUACUUACCACCAAGGUUCAGUCAUCCAUAACACCAUCAUAAAGUAUCAGAAUUAU